AUACAAAUGACAAGAAAGACUCUGUUUCGAACAUAGCCACAGAACUAAAAGAUGAACAAAAAUCUGGGACAGUGCUUCCUGCUGUUGAACAGUGUUUAAACAGGAGUCUCUACAGACCGGAUGCUGUUGCACAGCCUGUGACAGAGGAUGAGUUUGCUUUGGAAUCUGCAGUAGAGUACUCUCUUGUGAAAUUAAUUUUCUCACUCUGAAUCUCAUUUUUUAUAUUAUUUUCUUCUAAAACUUAGCAGUUGUCUACCUAUCAUUGUUUUAUGUUAGUAUUAAAACUUUUAUUAGAGAUAACCAUUUUAAAGAAAUGGGAGGGGUUAAUUUUAAUUUUUUUUUACUUUGGCAAAUAACAAAUAGCUCAUAAAUUCUUUGAGAGGUGUGAUCUGAAAAAAAAUUUGCUGGAAAAUACACAGUGACAGAAAAAUGGUGUUCGGUGACGCUUUCCCACAAUAGAGGAGAUACAAAUUUUGGUCUAGGC
rnacentral:lncRNA from 1 species